UUUCUAACUGGGAGACAGGGAUCCAAGGAUUGAUUCCCAGGACUUUUACUGCAGUGCUCCAUCCAUACGCAUUUCUAAAUCUGGAUCGUCAAAGAGUUUCAAAGAGAUCAGAGUGAGCAGAUUUUCAGGGCCUGAGGAAGCCAGAAGAAAAAUAUUUUUAAUAGGAGACAUUUAAUUUACUGUAUCACCUGUUGAUAAG